UUCAACAGAGUUUCCAGCCAUUUUCUCAAAGUAGGUAUCAAAUGCAAUACAGUUUUCAGAUUCUCACAAAUACAAAAUACAGAAGCUAUUUUAUUACCUUGAAUAUAAGUGCUUAUGAUCUUUAAGUUGGAAGAUGUUCCUGCUAUGGGAGGCACCAUUUCCUGAGUAGAAAAUUUUGGGCCCUAGAAGAUUAAGAGUACUAAGCAGAGAGCAAUGUAUUCAUGGCGUUUUGGCUGACUGAAGAUAUACUUGAAGAUUCUGCUGUCUUGAGAUCUCCAACAUGAAGAUCUUGAACUAGGAGCUAAAUUAAACCAUUUCUCCCUUAUA